rnacentral:rRNA from 1 species
UACGGAGGAUGCGAGCGUUAUCCGGAUUUAUUGGGUUUAAAGGGUGCGUAGGCGGGCUGUUAAGUCAGCGGUAAAAGCCCGGGGCUCAACCCCGGCGAGCCGUUGAAACUGGCUGUCUUGAGAUGUCGAGAGGUAUGCGGAAUGCGCAGUGUAGCGGUGAAAUGCUUAGAUAUCGCGCAGAACCCCGAUUGCGAAGGCAGCGUACCGGCUCCACACUGACGCUGAGGCACGAAAGCGUGGGUAUCGAACAGG